rnacentral:tRNA from 3 species
GGGGACGUAGCUCAAUUGGGAGAGCACCUGCUUUGCAAGCAGGGGGUUGUCGGUUCGAUCCCGAUCGUCUCCA